UCGAGGUCAUGGUCUCUCCUGUUCUCUGAGCCCAGUCGUUCAAAAUCCUCUAAUCCUCGUUAAAGUGGAAUUCAUUGCCGACCUUGGCGCCACUCGGAUGCCGGUGUCCUUCCCCCAGAUAGGCUGAUGCAAUCAACCUGGGGUGCGGCCUGGGCAUCAGAGGGGACAUCAAAGGACUCCAGAUGACCCUCACAGGUGCCAAGGCUGUGGCCCACUGGGAUAAGGACAGUGUGGCAGCGCACUGGCACUUUCUGUUCAAAGCAGUGCCAGGAAGGACUCAGAGAAGCGACUGCUUCCGGCGGGCUUGGGCCAGAGCAGAUUUGCUCAGGAGCUGGACCUUGAGGUCACAGAAGAGGAGACUCCUAUAGGAGCCCUGAGCCCAGUCUGGCCGUGCACCCACAGUGGACCUUCUGAGUGCUGGGAUUUCCAGGGCUGGACGUUCAAGGCAAGUGAAGAAGACACUGUCGCUAUCUGGAACUGACAGCUUCACACCUACCACCUACCAGUGCUAAGCCAGUAUCAAGCUGUGAGCUGGACAGGGGUGGGUACAGCUGACCAGGGAAAGAAGCAACUCCCAACAACUGGGGUCCACUCUCAGGAGAGGAAUGUCCCCGAGCCUUUAUCUGCCUGUCCCCACAGCAGGGCCAGGGGGAUUGGCCCUGGAUGGAGAUUCAGGCAGAUCACCAAACAGCUUGCAUUCAAACACUCUGGAUAAGUUAUAAUGAACUUUUGUUAUGGUUUGGGUCCAAAAUGUCCCCCACAGGUGCCUGCGCUGGUCCCUAGCUGGUGGCUCCGGUUUGGGAAGUUCUGACACCUGUAGAAAGUGGGGCCUCUCUGGACGAAGUACAUCAGUAGACAGAGUGGACCUUGAGGCUUAUAGCUUAACCUCACUUCCUGUCCUUUGUCUCAUCCCUGCUUUCUGUACCCCUGAGAUGUGAGAAGGAGAGGAACCCUGCUGUAUAUUCCCUCUACCAUGUUGGACCAUGUCUCCUUAACCAUGCAUGAAUCCAAGUCAAUCCUGCUACUCUAAGUCAGUGUUUUCCAGGUAUUCGGUCACGAUAACCAAUAAUGUUUGUGUCUCUGUUCACUCCACCGUUUCCUGAGCCCCUGGAAGAAGCCAUGACUGGUCAUCAUACCCCACCUCCUAGCAGCAUCUGGUACAGCAAGUCCUCCAUCAGUUGCAAUAGGAUGGAAUACAAUUGAGGAAAAUCACCAAAGCUUCUAAAGCAACAAACUGUAGUUAUCAAAAAGAAAU